UCUUGACUGGGGCAAGGAAGCGAAUCCUAGGAACAAUCACAUGAGCUUGGAAGGAGACUUUUCCCCAGCUGAGCCUCAGCCUGGGCCAUCAUCUACAUCUGGACUGAAGACCCAGAGAAACUACUUCAUCAGGAAUUGUUUGAGACCAUGCAUUCUGUGGACACUCAUAUCAUGGAAUUAUGUUGCCAAUUGGCAUUCCUAAAGCUUCUAUGCUAGCAGAACCUGCAGUCCAGUUAUCGCAAAAAAAUGAAAAACAUGAAAGCUAAAAUUUUUGUAGGGAUUGUAUUGAAUCUGCAGAUACAUUUGGAAAGUAUAAGCAUCUUGGUUUGGAGUAAUUCACCAGUGAAGUCUUCUCAACCUGGGCAAUCAUGUGAGCUUGGAAGAUGAUCCAUCCCCAUCUCAUCUUUCAGGUGAAACCUCAGCCUUGGCCAUCACCUACAUCUGGAUUUCUGACCCAGAGAAACUGAUGGAGUACAGUGAUGGGAUCUUGGUUCACUGCAACUUCUGCCUCCUGGGUUCAAGUGAUUCUCCUGCCUCAGCUUCCCAAGUUGCUGGGACUACAG